CUUCCUUUUGUCUUUCGUCGAAAUCACUUUAUAGCCUCCUCGAUGCAAAGCUUUGACAUUUUUCCCUGAUUGAAGCCUUCGUAUUUUCCCCAACGGGAAACCUUCUCAUUUUCCCCCGACGCACUUCACUUCCGUUCCUCUCUACACUCUAGUGCCGCCAGUGGAAUCAACCUUUGAUAGGUCAUCCUCUUUGGGGUUUCCUGGCCACGGGAAGAAGAGACAACAUGAGCAAUUUCUGCAAUUUCUUCCACAAGCCCAAGGACACAAAGAAUAUCCGCAAGAGAAAAAAAAGUUGACUCCAACGAGGAAGUCUCCAUUGAUGAUAUUUUGUCUUCCGAUCCAGAGAUGAAGAAGUUUGUCGAGCUUUCCUUCUCUUCGUUUUGCUUUGAGGUUGGCUCCCUAUUCCAGUUCGAUUCAUCCAUGGAGAUCUAGGUCAAGCAUGACAGUUGUGCUAUGGAUGCACUUGAGAUGAAGACCGAGUUCUUCAAGGAUGCCUGCACCAUCAGCGAGUGGGUGCUAAAGAGGGCAGAGGAGGCUCUCAAGGGCAAGUAAGUCUGGCAGAGGGGUGAUGAUAAGAUAUACAAAGGGAUCCACAGGUACACUAAUUACAUUGUGCUCUAAAGGAAUGUGAUGUUUAUGAUGCAUCUGUUGGCAUGUGCUUUUUCUGAUAAUGAUUUCCUUGAGCCUGUAUACUAUUCACAUGCAUUGUUCAAUUAAGGCAUUAUACUAAGGGUUCGAUCAUUUAAUCUGCAUAAUGUGUUUAUUAGUUCGGCUUAUUGUGUGAAGAUUGUAGUAUGAGAUUUCUCAUGUAUUUUAACCAGUUAUGUGUCAACAUCUUUCUUAUGUUACUAAGUAAAGCACUUACAUGAAGAAAGGAUAUUUGCUAUACAAAAUUCAUGCGUUCCAAUUUAUCAUAAAUAGCCAUAUCGUUCUUGUAAGGUGAUUCUAGUGUAGGUUGCAUGUUUCUGAUGGUUGGAUUUAUUAAAAGCAAACAUAAAGAUCCUACUAUAAAGUUAAAUUAUUUAAAUACUGCUUUACUUUGUAUUUGGACAUCCAAGCUUAGCAAUGAUGACAUAAUGCAUGUUUGUUCAUAUCUCAAUAACAAUAUCUUUAUUUCUUUAUAGUUUAUACAUCAUCAAAAGCUAGUAUGUUAGACCCCAGGGGAUUUGAAACCUUUCAUUAUAAGAUUAGUCCCAUAACUUUGGUUCAAUAAGCUAUAUGUGUUCAUACACUAGCACAAGACUCUUUGUUCAGCAUUCUCAAGAUUUAUCACAUUCAAAUGAUUUGGAAUUUAUUUUUCCCAUAUCAAACUAAACUAUGAAUGUGAUUGGACCUUUUACUACUAUAGAAUCAUUAAUAGUGUCAAUAUGUAUUGGAAUCUGAUUCACUAGGUUAGGAUGUGUAAUUUUACUAGUUAUUGGUACUUAAGCAGUGAAAUUUUGUUGUUAAGUUAGGAUGUCCUUGCAAUUAUUUUUAUUCUUUACAACUUCAUUUUGACACCUUAAUUUGUAUUCAUUAUAUUUACAAUUAUAUUUUUUUUAGAUAGCAUCAUGGAAAGAAUAAGAAAUGUUUUGUCUGCAACAAACCAACUCUUGGUAUCUUCAAUACCACACGUGAGAUACGAAAAAGAUGGCUGAAGAUACAUAAGAGGAACUGACAAUGAUAUGUGUCAAACCAAAGGUUACAUAGAAGAUUUUAGCAUUUGUAAAAAAAUUAUGCUUUCUGGAACUAUUAGACACUCUUAUUGGUCAUGUUGAUCAUCUGUUAGUUUAAUAUACUGGAUUAUGGAAAAUAAUUGAAAGUUUAACUUCAUGCGGAAAUGUGGUCAGAGACUUAAUAUUAACUUUCGAUCUAAUAUAAUUGAAAGUUUAACUCCUGGUCUAAUAUUAUAUAUCAUGUUUUUCAAAUCUUUUAAAUAGUUGGACCAAAAUGAAGCAUUUGUACUUUUGUUGAUAAUGUGCUUUAAAAUGAAGUUUAAGCAUUAUGUUGUCGAUUACUUUGGUUCUUGCUAUCUUUUUUAAUAUAAAAAUUGACUUUAGCACUAUCUAUCUUCUAAUACUUAUGAGAUAUCUUAGCAUUAUUGAUGAACUAUAGUUAACAUGCUUUGCUUUGUUCACAUGGGGUAAAUUUAGAUUUGACCUUAAUUUUUCUUAAAGACUAUCCUUAUAGAGAAGGGUGAUAAUGCUUGAUGUUAGAUACUUUUGCUAAUAGAUGUUGUUACAAACUGAUGUAGGGUUAUGAAUAUUCUUGUACCCAUCAUCUAUGGUAUUUUUUUUGUAUGUUUACCUCAUAUGUACCCAUCAUCUAUGGUAUUUUUUUUGUAUGCUUACCUCAUAUGUUCAAGUUUUAUAAUGAUGAUUAUGGUUAUCUUGUAUGUUCUAGCAUUUUUUUUACCAUUACCUUGCAAUUACCUUACAGUUACCUUUACAAAAUGUAUUUAGGCAUCAAUUAAUAAUUUUUAUUAUUUGAAUUGUGACUAAUUCCAUUAAUUUUUUAAUUUUAUUAGGGUAAUCUAAAAUAAAAUGGUGGUUUUCAAUGUGUAUAUUGUGUAAUGUGGUACAUGAAAGAGAUAGUCUUAUUGAAGAUCCACAAUUGGAGAGAAAGGUGAAUUUCUUCUUUAUGAAAUAUCUUCUUUAUGUAAUAUUGAGUCAUUUUGCAUUAACCCUUAAACUUAUGUUAAUGCUUUAGUUUACAGUAUCAAAAAACAAACAAUAUUACAAUCAAUUUCAGUAUGAUGAAGUCAGAAGUGAAUGAAGCGAAUUCGUCUGGUUCUAUGUGGGUGUCUAAGUAUAAGCUGUGAUGUAAAUUUUGGAUUGUAAUUAGAGAUUUAUGGAUACAAAAGCUUUUGAGCGAAGUUAGUCAAACUUGCCUUUUGUGAAUAUACUUUUGGAUUAUAUUUAGAGAUUUGUUGAUAUAAAAGGUUUUGGGUGAA